UGUAGCUCAGUGGUAGAGCACUUGCCUGGUGUGUGAGAGGCAUUGGGUUCAAUUCUCAACA
rfam:Ictidomys tridecemlineatus contig030802, whole genome shotgun sequence.